AGGACAUUAUCAUAGCCCCACAGGUGGCAAGCAUGCCAUGGAUUUAUUUAAUGCUUCCUUAAUCAAUGUUUUCAUUUCCUGAGAGGCUUUAGAGCAGUAUUGUUAUGUUUCUCAUUAAUUGGGUACUCAUGAUCAUUUCAGGUAAUGUGUAUACAGAAUAAUAUCUUUGAUGGAGAGCUAAAUAUAUGGACACAAAGAUACAGUAUCAAUAGUUUUCCCAACAUACAAUGGAUAUCCACAUCCUAAGCCCUGUGUAGACCUGGCUGACUGGGAACUCAAUAUAUAGCAAAAGCAAGGCCCAUAAGAGUGUUCUGAUGUUGCAGGAGUUUCUGGGGCUACUGGAGUGAGACAACACACCUGACCAAAGAAAUUGUUUCUAAGACGGAAGAGUUCAAAAUCACUUUAUUAUUAAUAAAAAUACAGUUAUUUUACUAAAUAGGGGCUUAAAUAGAUCAGUCAACAUAAACAGUGAACAGCCUUAGCAAAAUAUCAAAACAACAAGAACAAACGAAAGAACAAAUAAAUAGCAAAAGCUCAAUCUAUAACAAAGAAAACCCAAAAGACCAAAGCAAACAAAACCCAACCAAAAACCAAACAAAACAAUUAAGGUCAGCAGCAUUCUCUUGCUGCAAUUUUAGAAGCACACACCUACAGCCUGUGGCUGGCCUUGGAAACAUGGUAGGAAGGCAGUCAACUUCAACACUCAACUGGAGAAUGAAACAUGAUGCUUUUGGGUGUGGUCUGUCAGGAACAGCUUGACAUCAACACAAUCAUCCAUGACACAUUUCACACCGCAUAGGGAGGGCUUGGGAAAUCAGUCAGCUUGCCAAAGCUAUCAACAUUAAACUGACAGAAAUAGUCUUGCUCACCAACAUCUCUACCCUUCAUGUUGUAGUACCCCUCACAGUGGCCACUUGCUAUUGAAUGUCAGGGUUCUCAGUAAUUCUUGGCUCAGGUUUUCUGUAUCUCAAGCUCCUUUUUGAUGCUUUCUUUUCUUUAGGAAGACUAAGUCAGCAGACCCAUAGAUCUGAUUGGGGCUGGAUCACCUGGAAGACAGCUGGUAUUUUCCUCACUGGAAACAGAUACACACUGCAGAGAACCUGUAAUCAGCAGGAAUGUGCUGCAUGCAGAUCUGUGCAAAGUGAUCUACGUGGACAUGCGGAAAGAUGGGCAGCAGCAUGCAAUAUUUGAUGGAUGCCAAGUGAGAGGGCACAGUACUUUUUCAAUAAAGUUGGUCCCAUCAUCAUUAAAGAUGAGUAAGUGAACAUACAAAUAUGCGGAAAUACACACACACACACACACACACACACACACGCACACGAGGUUAAACUCCACACAUAGAAACAGGCUUGCACCUAUAAGCACCUGUAUUCACAAACACACAAAUACUUACCCCUAUACAUACAGGAAACAUGGACACACACACACACACACAUACAUAUACAGUCACCCACACAUGGUCACAUACACACACACAAAGGAACACUAGUGUGCAACCAAUAGACAGUAUUCACAUACAAACACACACAAAGAAGUUCACACACACAUACACACAGAGAUGCACAGAAAAGCACAACACACCACAUACCACACCCCCAACACACACACCACACACACACACACACACACACACACAC